rnacentral:rRNA from 1 species
CCUACGGGUGGCAGCAGUGGGGAAUAUUGCACAAUGGGGGAAACCCUGAUGCAGCGACGCCGCGUGAGUGAAGAAGUAUUUCGGUAUGUAAAGCUCUAUCAGCAGGGAAGAAAAUGACGGUACCUGACUAAGAAGCCCCGGCUAACUACGUGCCAGCAGCCGCGGUAAUACGUAGGGGGCAAGCGUUAUCCGGAUUUACUGGGUGUAAAGGGAGCGUAGACGGUGCAGCAAGUCUGAUGUGAAAGGUCAGGGCUCAACCCCAGGACUGCAUUGGAAACUGUUGAACUGGAGUACAGGAGAGGUAAGCGGAAUUCCUGGUGUAGCGGUAAAAUGCGUAGAUAUUAAGAGGAACACCAGUGGCGAAGGCGACUUACUAGACUGUAACUGACGUUGAGGCGCGAAAGCGUGGGGAGCAAACAGGAUUAGAUACCCUAGUAGUC